rnacentral:rRNA from 1 species
GUUGUUGGGUAGGGGAGCGUUCUGUAAGCCUGCGAAGGUGUACUGUGAGGUAUGCUGGAGGUAUCAGAAGUGCGAAUGCUGACAUAAGUAACGAUAAAGCGGGUGAAAAGCCCGCUCGCCGGAAGACCAAGGGUUCCUGUCCAACGUUAAUCGGGGCAGGGUGAGUCGACCCCUAAGGCGAGGCCGAAAGGCGUAGUCGAUGGGAAACAGGUUAAUAUUCCUGUACUUGGUGUUACUGCGAAGGGGGGACGGAGAAGGCUAUGUUGGCCGGGCGACGGUUGUCCCGGUUUAAGCGUGUAGGCUGGUUUUCCAGGCAAAUCCGGAAAAUCAAGGCUGAGGCGUGAUGACGAGGCACUACGGUGCUGAAGCAACAAAUGCCCUGCUUCCAGGAAAAGCCUCUAAGCAUCAGGUAACAUCAAAUCGUACCCCAAACCGACACAGGUGGUCAGGUAGAGAAUACCAAGGCGCUUGAGAGAACUCGGGUGAAGGAACUAGGCAAAAUGGUGCCGUAACUUCGGGAGAAGGCACGCUGAUAUGUAGGUGAAGUCCCUCGCGGAUGGAGCUGAAAUCAGUCGAAGAUACCAGCUGGCUGCAACUGUUUAUUAAAAACACAGCACUGUGCAAACACGAAAGUGGACGUAUACGGUGUGACGCCUGCCCGGUGCCGGAAGGUUAAUUGAUGGGGUUAGCGCAAGCGAAGCUCUUGAUCGAAGCCCCGGUAAACGGCGGCCGUAACUAUAACGGUCCUAAGGUAGCGAAAUUCCUUGUCGGGUAAGUUCCGACCUGCACGAAUGGCGUAAUGAUGGCCAGGCUGUCUCCACCCGAGACUCAGUGAAAUUGAACUCGCUGUGAAGAUGCAGUGUACCCGCGGCAAGACGGAAAGACCCCGUGAACCUUUACUAUAGCUUGACACUGAACAUUGAGCCUUGAUGUGUAGGAUAGGUGGGAGGCUUUGAAGUGUGGACGCCAGUCUGCAUGGAGCCGACCUUGAAAUACCACCCUUUAAUGUUUGAUGUUCUAACGUUGGCCCCUGAUCGGGGUUGCGGACAGUGUCUGGUGGGUAGUUUGACUGGGGCGGUCUCCUCCUAAAGAGUAACGGAGGAGCACGAAGGUUGGCUAAUCCUGGUCGGACAUCAGGAGGUUA